CCUACGGGAGGCCGCAGUGGGGAAUAUUGCACAAUGGGGGAAACCCUGAUGCAGCGACGCCGCGGGAGUGAAGAAGUAACUCGUUACGUAAAGCUCUAUCAGCAGGGAAGAAAAUGACGGUACCUGAGUAAGAAGGCCCGCCUACGUACGAGCCAGCAGCAGCGGUAAGACGUAGGGGGCAAGCGUUAUACGGAUUUAGAGGGAGUAAAGGGAGUGUAGACGGUGCGCCAAGUCUGAAGUGAAAAGCCGCAGCUUAAAUGCGGAACUGCUUUGGAAACUGGCGAACUAGAGUGCGGGAGGGGUGAGCGGAAUUCCUGGUGUAGCGGGGAAAUGCG
rnacentral:rRNA from 1 species